rnacentral:rRNA from 1 species
UACGGGGGGGCAAGCGUUGUUCGGAAUUACUGGGCGUAAAGGGCCAGUAGGCGGCCAACUAAGUCGGAUGUGAAAUCCCCAGGCUCAACUUGGGAACUGCAUCCGAUACUGGAUGGCUUGAAUUCGGGAGAGGGAUGCAGAAUUCCAGGUGUAGCGGUGAAAUGCGUAGAUAUCUGGAGGAAUACCGGUGGCGAAGGCGGCAUCCUGGACCGACAUUGACGCUGAACGGCGAAAGCUAGGGGAGCAAACGGG